GACGAACCGUGCGAACGUUGUUCGGAAUCACUGGGCUUAAAGGGCGCGUAGGCGGGCUGCCAAGUCCGGGGUGAAAUCCUCCAGCUUAACUGGAGAACGGCCUCGGAUACUGGAAGUCUCGAGGGAGAUAGGGGCACGCGGAACUGUGGGUGGAGCGGUGAAAUGCGUUGAUAUCCAUAGGAACUCCGGUGGCGAAGGCGGCGUGCUGGAUCUCUUCUGACGCUGAGGCGCGAAAGCCAGGGGAUCAAACGGG
rnacentral:rRNA from 1 species